AGUCACCUGGGACUGGGAGAGGUGGUGAUGGUGAACAAACAACAAAUGAGAAAUGACGAAAGUUAUUUGCUGUUGCUGUUCACUUUUUUAUGGACCAAAUUAAUAUCCACAAAAUAUAUUAUUCUACAUAAUGUGUUCAAGCUUGUCUAUGGUCAUCUCAAGAUCUCAUUUAGUCUCUGAGUAUGAGCUGCAGCCAGUUGGUGAAAGGGAUGAACAAGACAGCUGUUGCAUUCAGUUUGUGGUGCUGCUAUUAUUAUCCUUGAAUGUGUUGGUUUUUUUUACCAUUAUCUUUAAGCAUCCCACACAGAAACCAGAAAAAGUUACCAAAAAGCAACAACGACUGCUAUGUAGAACUCGACGAAUAAGUUGCUCUAAGGAAUUUCAAAAGAUCGUUAAAGUUGAGAAAGAAGAAAAUAACGGCUCAAUACAAUCAAAUCAAAGAAGUACAAAACCAUAGGAGAGACGCCGGAAAUGUUACUUGUCGCACAAGUCCUGGAGUUGGUGUCGCGUUUUGAUGUCAGGUGUCGUUAUUACAUUCCGACUUGCGACUACACCGACUUCGCAACCAGAUUCUUUGCCAUUUGCAAUCAGAAUGAUCAGUUUAGGUGGCGGAGUGUCAGUGAGUGACGGCGGCGAUUGGUUUCGUCAGUCUUAAGUCAUUUGCCUUUGAGACAAUGGAUGGAAACGUGCUGCAGCUUCUGCGUCAUGACGGUUUUCGCUUUUACAUUUUAAAGAGAUGAGAUAUUUCCACGCCAUUCGACCAAGCUUAAUCAAAAGUGAACAAUUCUAAGGCAUCAUGCCGAAGAUCUUUCUCCCUUCUCCACGUGAUCGCUGCCGUGUCACGAAGAUGCUUCUUUGAGAGGGUCUCUACUAUAUUGCAAGACAAAAUGUGAUGAGAUUUGGAAAUCUGAGAUGGUAGUAAUGUACUUGUAAGAUAAAUCAAGUAGGUUCAGUAGUUCAACCUGCAGACAUGCAAACUCAAGGUCGCUGGGAACAUUUCGUGUAAAACUGUCAAUUCGGUGAUGUAGAGGUUGGGUGAGAACAGAACGUCAUUAUCAAGCAGACCCAUCCCCGGCAACCUCAACCUAAAGAAGGAAAGGGCAGUUUUCAUGUAAAAUCUUUUAAUCGAAGGUCACGGAGAUCAUAACGUAAAACGUUUCAUGCGACGA